rnacentral:rRNA from 1 species
UACGUAGGGGGCGAGCGUUGUCCGGAAUUACUGGGCGUAAAGAGCUCGUAGGUGGUUUGUCGCGUUGUUCGUGAAAACUCACAGCUUAACUGUGGGCGUGCGGGCGAUACGGGCAGACUUGAGUACUGCAGGGGAGACUGGAAUUCCUGGUGUAGCGGUGGAAUGCGCAGAUAUCAGGAGGAACACCAGUGGCGAAGGCGACACGCUGGGCCGUACCUGACACUGAUGCGCGACAGCAUGGGGAGCAAACAGG